rfam:Stegodyphus mimosarum contig38370, whole genome shotgun sequence.
GCCUUCGUAGUGUAGCGGUCAGCACGCUGGGCGCGUAUUCCAGAGAGGCGUGGUUCGAGUCCCGGCGCGGGCG